GCAGAGUAGGUAUAUGUGCGUUAAGUGCCGGAUGAACAGGGAGUAGUCAACCAGACGAAAGGGGCAAGAUAUGAAACUGUUCCUGCGGUACAUGAGCCGCAUCCCGCUGC
rnacentral:ncRNA from 10 species